UUGUUAAUUAUCAUUAAUACAAAGAUCUUGAAGCCAAUAUCAAACAAUAGAAUAACAGAAAUUGUUCAACAUAAUUUCAGACACGAACGUCAAACGCUGUUGGCAACAGACCUUAAGGGGAAACACUUCUUAAGAUUGAGAACAAGCGAUUGCAAUUAUGUAGUACAACAAAGAACCAACACGAACUUUAAUUUUGGACUUUAUACCAACAAAUACUAGACAAGAAUGUCAACGAUCAGCUAGUUACAUUCUUGUUGAAGAAAUCAUGCCAUAGUAAAGACAUCGUAAAA